ACAUGAUAACAAACUGACGUCACUUCCUGUUGGUAUCUUUGAUAACAAUACACAGCUUCAAUCUUUGUAUCUACAGUAUAACAAACUGACGUCACUUCCUAUUGGUAUCUUUGAUAACAAUACACAGCUUCAAUCUUUGUAUCUACAGUAUAACAAACUGACGUCACUUCCUGUUGGUAUCUUUGAUAACAAUACAAAGAUUCAAUAUUUAUCCUUGAGGAACAAUCAACUGAAGUCACUUCCUGCU